rnacentral:rRNA from 1 species
UACGAAGGGGGCUAGCGUUGCUCGGAAUCACUGGGCGUAAAGGGUGCGUAGGCGGGUUUUUAAGUCAGGGGUGAAAUCCUGGAGCUCAACUCCAGAACUGCCUUUGAUACUGAAAAUCUUGAGUAUGGGAGAGGUGAGUGGAACUGCGAGUGUAGAGGUGAAAUUCGUAGAUAUUCGCAAGAACACCAGUGGCGAAGGCGGCUCACUGGCCCAUUACUGACGCUGAGGCACGAAAGCGUGGGGAGCAAACAGG